rnacentral:lncRNA from 1 species
UCUUGUUCUGUGACUCCUAAAAUAAGUAUCAAUUUACUUAUGUUUUGUUCGGCUGUUCAUGGGGAAGGCUGCUCUCAACACUUACAUCACAAUGAGGUGAGUGACACCAGGUGGUUUUGUUUGGGAAAUUAGAAGCUUGAGGUUUAUAAUAAAAAAAAAAUGGGUAGGAGGAAAUGUGUUAGCAGAAAUCUUGGAGAGAAUUAGUAAGUUCCUUGGCUGCUCCUAAGGCAAGUGCUUAAAGCCUCUACAUCUUCCUCUUCUCAAAGCAAGUUCAGCAGAAGAUACAACAUGUUCAUUUGCCACCAGUGAGAUCAAUUAUUUGAAUUUCUAACACAGAAUAGAAAUGAGGAAUAUGGAAAAAAAGGAAAUGAGGAAGAUAGGGUUUAAGUUCAAAAGGCUGUUAAAAUGGAAAUCUCUGAAGAAAAAUUGUUCCCACUAUUACAUUACUAAACAUAUUUCUAAUAUAAACAAAAGACACUGGCUUUGGGUUGAGGUCUGUAAGCAGACACUGAUGAGGCCCAUAUCAGGUGCUGCUUCUAGUCCUGAGAUUGUGGUUCUCAUAUUGCAAAAAGACAUUUGAGGUCAUAUAGGUUACACACCUUCCUGUAUGCUUCUGCUUCCCCAGCAGCCAUGUUAAGGGUGAGCUUGAAGAAGGUCCAGACAAUACCUUGGGUCUAAAUGAGGGAGAAACUGGAACUUUUCAUUGGUGUUAUAAUUAUUUGGUUUGUUAACUGUUUUGUGUUGAACUUAAUAAAUAAUAACUUAUUUAAUUUAAAUAAAUACUAUUAUAUGCAUGUUUGAUUUUAAUAUACAAAUGUUUACAUAUUUGUAAGCAUUUAAAAUACCUUAUAUUUGGUCAUAAGGUGUGUUUUUUUUUAAGAUUUAUUUAUUCAUGAGAGACCACACAGAGAGAGGCAGAGACAUUGGCAGAGGGAGAAGCAGGCUUCCUGCAGGCUCGAUCCCAGGACUCGAUCCCAGGACUCUGGGAUCAUGACCUGAGCCAAAGACAGACAGACGCUCAACCCACUGAGCCACCCAGGUGCCCCUACUCAUUUUUGAUACAUCCAUUUAGAUCAAAUAAAGAAUGAUCAUGUCACAAAAGGGGGACUUUUUUUGUCCUAAAUGGGAAUUGUCAAGAGGCCUCAAGAAAGAUAAGGUGACAGAUGGCAUAUUUCCAUAACUACACAUCACUGCUUAAAAUCUAUCUCUCAGUAGAGAACUUCAAAAGUAGAUUUCUUGAGACAUAUUUUUUCAGUAUGAAUGUGUUUCUUCUGCUGUAGAGAAAUAACAUCAAAUGCAUAUAUCGACAUUGCAAUAAAGAAACAAACUAUUAGAUAAGAAAAUCCAGAAUGGUGGAUAGAUGGGAGGGGUUGGGAUUCUCAAAUGAAAACAAAGAGAGGCAGCCCCCCCCCCUUUUUGAGAAGUAUCUGUACUUGCUUUAUCUCAUCCUCACGGUGGUAUUUAAAAGAAUAGAAGAGUAAUUUCAUGCUAAUAGGACUGGACAAAAAAGCUCUGUCUAGCAUGGCACUGUCCUCAGGUUGGGCUGGGAGGAAAGUAUUCUCUCCUGCAGUGAGUUCAUUUAUAUUUUAAAUAUCUGCUAGACUAUGGCAAAAUGACUCCCUCUUAAUCAUCACUAUUGAGAAUGAAUAAAUACAUGCAUUUAUCUUGCAUGUGGUAAUUGGCUGCAAAGUAUUCAGCAAUCCUUUCAUUAGGGUGAUGAGAUCCAAAUAUAGAUGGCAAGUAUGUUUAUUGGAAACUAAUAGACUCAUCUGAAGUGUAAAAAAGUCCUGUAAAUGUAGUGGUUUGCAGAGAUGUGUGUGUGUAUAAGGUAGACAUGUGUGCACAAGCAUGCAUAUGUGUUUUACAGGGAGCAAUAGGAAGGAAGAAAGCUAAUCAUUCAUUCUCCUGCCACUUUAAGUUCUUCUUUGGAAUGAAGAUGCGUACCCAGUGUAAUUCACUUCUUUUGGUAUAAUCAAUGAGUGGUUUUUCCACUCUUCCUUCUAAUGUUUGAGUUUGAGAUCCCACUGAGUAGUCUCUGUUUCUGUGAGCACCAUGAUGGGUUACAGACAUCAGUGGGUACCCCUGUGUGCCAUUUAAAAAGUGCUGCACCACUCUCUUCCUCCUUUCUGCAUCUCAGAUUGGCUUUGAAUAAUUACAAUUGUAUAUUCAGGGCUCUCACUUGGAUCUUACUAGGAGUGGUGCAACAGGCAGCAUUUUGGUUUCCAUGACCCCCAACACUCGCCAUCGGAUGCUACACUUGUGAAUAUGUCACCACAGCAACAACAACAACAACAACAAAAAUAAAUACAGAUUUCAGUCCCUGGAAGUGGGGUGCUUCUGAAAGAAAUACCUAAAAAUGUGAAUGCCGCUUUGAAAUCAGGCAGUGGCCAGAAGCUGGAGGGAUCUCGAGAAGCCUAAUAUUAGUAAAAACCUUGACUGCCUUGGACAAACUAUUAACAGAGAUAUGGAUGUUAAGGAUUCUGGUAGCAAGGACUUAGAGGAGAUGAAAACCUUUGUACAAAACCCCCACGUUCCCUCAGAGGAUGCCUAAGCAUCACAUAUUGAUAAAAAUAUGCAUGUUAUGCUGCUGGUGGGAAUACACAGAGCAGGCUCGGGAAUGCUGCACAUAAAGGCUCAGAAGAGAGUGAGGAAAUGUGCUUGGAAACUAGAGGAAGAGGAGCCCUGUCAUGUAUUGGCAAAGAGCUUAGUGAAAUUGUGUUUGGCAGUUAUGAAGAAAACAGAACUUGUAAAAGACAAGCUUGGUCAUUUAACUGAGAAGAUCCUCAAGCUUGGUAUUAAAGGUACAGCCUUAUUUUCAUCUUGCUGUUUAUAGUGAAAGGUGAGGAGAGUGAGAGAAAUUGAGGGAAGACCUGCCAAGCAAGAAAUGAGAAGGAUUGGAUGGCUUGGAAAAUCGGCAGUCUCUCCAGAUAGCAAAGCCACUUCAAAGAAGAAAUUCACUGUCAGGAAUGCAACCUCUAGAGACAUGCAGAGUAUGGCUUUUUUUUUAAUUUAUUUUUAUUGGUGUUCAAUUUGCCAACAUAUAAAAUAUCACCCAAGAGCUCAUCCCAUCAAGUGCUAUUUUAACCUUUGGCUUCAGAAGGACCAGAAGGCUUGGCUUUAUGAAAAGGUGAUUCCUUAAUACAAAAGAGUUUGGGAAGAGAUUGAGAAUGUGGGAAGUCAGUAAUUUCAACAAAUUCAGGAGAAGAAAGUACAAAAAAUUAAUAUUAUUAUGUCCAUGACAGUGAAACGAGUAAAGUCCACAGUACAACUUUUACCAAGUAGAACUGAAGGUCCAUUCAAGACCAAGACCUGCCUCUUUAUCUCAGUUGUCCUGAUUUUGGUUUCUUCCUUAUGCUCAUAAUAUCAUAACUGAAAGACUGUGUGCAAAUAAGAGAAACUGAAAUUGAAGCAGAGCCAACCAGAGCUAAGAAAUUUUAUCAUAGGGGAAGGAAUUUGAGGGAGCUUGAUAAUGUAAAAAAACAAAAAACAAAAAACAAACAAACAAAAAAA